rnacentral:rRNA from 1 species
GACGAACGCUGGCGGCGUGCUUAACACAUGCAAGUCGAACGGAAGGGCCCUGCUUUUGUGGGGUGCUCGAGUGGCGAACGGGUGAGUAACACGUGAGUAACCUGCCCUUGACUUUGGGAUAACUUCAGGAAACUGGGGCUAAUACCGGAUAGGAGCUCCUGCUGCAUGGUGGGGGUUGGAAAGUUUCGGCGGUUGGGGAUGGACUCGCGGCUUAUCAGCUUGUUGGUGGGGUAGUGGCUUACCAAGGCUUUGACGGGUAGCCGGCCUGAGAGGGUGACCGGCCACAUUGGGACUGAGAUACGGCCCAGACUCCUACGGGAGGCAGCAGUGGGGAAUAUUGCACAAUGGGCGGAAGCCUGAUGCAGCAACGCCGCGUGCGGGACGACGGCCUUCGGGUUGUAAACCGCUUUCGCCUGUGACGAAGCGUGAGUGACGGUAAUGGGUAAAGAAGCACCGGCUAACUACGUG